rnacentral:lncRNA from 1 species
UUAGGAAGAAAUUGAUAAAUAAAACAGGAGAGAAUGAACUUUACGCCAAAGCAUAAUCAUCCACGAAAGUCUUUAUAUAACAUAGAAAAGGAUCAUUUUUCCAAACCACCAUAUUACGACACGAUUUUAAACAGAAUUCAACGAAUUUUAAGUAUCAUUGCUAAAAGAAUUCAUUCUAAAAGAUAACCGCCCUACGAAAAUGGGACAUAACUAAACGAGAAUUUAGCUAUUUGAAUAUGAUUCGUGCUAAUGUUCGCGUAUUCGACACAGGAAAUUUAUUUGCCAGUGAACGUUUAAAAUAUUACAGUUUAGAUCGUGAAAGCUUUCAUCGUCUAAAAAGAUUGCGAUACACGAGCUAAAACAGUCUCAGAAAAGUACUUUACUGGCAUAAAUGUAAUACUAUCCUUGCGAAAGCUAAACUCUGCAGAAGUACUAAUGCAACGCAUUAGCCUUUAAAAGGUGGUACUAGUAUCUUAGAAAUUUCAGAUAUACCUCAGAUAAUUCAUACUUUCUCCCCUCUAAUAUCAAAUACCUGUCAAUUAAAAAAAAAUGAUAAUCUUUACAGAAAUAUAGCGGACGCAAAUUACAGAAUU